rnacentral:rRNA from 1 species
AAUAGAUACCCGGGUAGUCCACGCCGUAAACGAUGAGUGCUAAGUGUUAGAGGGUUUCCGCCCUUUAGUGCUGCAGCUAACGCAUUAAGCACUCCGCCUGGGGAGUACGGCCGCAAGGCUGAAACUCAAAGGAAUUGACGGGGGCCCGCACAAGCGGUGGAGCAUGUGGUUUAAUUCGAAGCAACGCGAAGAACCUUACCAGGUCUUGACAUCCUCUGACAACCCUAGAGAUAGGGCUUUCCCCCUUCGGGGGACAGAGUGACAGGUGGUGCAUGGUUGUCGUCAGCUCGUGUCGUGAGAUGUUGGGUUAAGUCCCGCAACGAGCGCAACCCUUGAUCUUAGUUGCCAGCAUUCAGUUGGGCACUCUAAGGUGACUGCCGGUGACAAACCGGAGGAAGGUGGGGAUGACGUCAAAUCAUCAUGCCCCUUAUGACCUGGGCUACACACGUGCUACAAUGGAUGGUACAAAGGGCUGCAAACCUGCGAGGGUAAGCGAAUCCCAUAAAGCCAUUCUCAGUUCGGAUUGCAGG